CUUUUAUAGGAAAGCAGCAAUCCAUUGGUUU
rnacentral:tRNA from 1 species